CCUGCUUCUGUUUCUGAAACCAUAAUUUACCUUUCUUUAAGUUCUAGAAGAUAAAGGUUAAAGCCUACCUACCUAUCUAUCUACAGCAGAAAGAUUAAAAAGAAAAAAAAAACCCCGGAAAUUCGAGAAUAGUACCUCCUCGUACUUCAGGGUAAGGGCAAUUCGUUCAUUUUCAGACAUAUCGGGCCUCAAAACCGCCGUGGUCUCGUAUUGUCCAAGUAAAGGAAGGCAUUGGGGCUGUUCCUUG
rnacentral:misc_RNA from 1 species